GCGGGGCUGCCCUUCACGUUUACGAGAACAAUGCCCGGGGCCUUAUCGAUCCGGAAGGGAGCUGUCCCUGUUUAGGCUCGUGGGUCUUUACAUACGGCGCCCACCUACACUUGUAGGUUCCCGGCAUCGGUUCCUCCGACGGUCUGGGCGGCUCCGCA
rnacentral:other from 1 species